rnacentral:snRNA from 1 species
CACUCCCCCCGAAAGGGAUGGCGGACACAUUUUAGUAAAGAAAUCACACUAUUUGUAUUAGAAUGUAUUAGUUACGUUAAUAAUGUAUACUAAUUAUUUAU